rnacentral:rRNA from 1 species
UACAGAGGUCCCAAGCGUUGUUCGGAUUCAUUGGGCGUAAAGGGUGCGUAGGCGGCGCGGUAAGUCGGGUGUGAAAUCUCGGGGCUUAACUCCGAAACUGCAUUCGAUACUGCCGUGCUUGAGGACUGGAGAGGAGACUGGAAUUUACGGUGUAGCGGUGAAAUGCGUAGAUAUCGUAAGGAAGACCAGUGGCGAAGGCGGGUCUCUGGACAGUUCCUGACGCUGAGGCACAGAACGGCCAGGGGAGGCAAACGGG